CAGCGUCGCAAGUGGGAAUCACGAUUAUUGAGCCUAAAGCGUCCGUAGCCGGACUAGUAAACCCUUGGGUAAAUUGGGCAGCUUAACUGUCCAAAUUCCGAGGGGACUGCUAGUCUUGGGACCGGGAGAGGUCAGAGGUACUCAAGGGGUAGGGGCUAAAUCCUGUAAUCCUUUGGGGACCACCAGUGGCGAAGGCGUCUGACUAGAACGGAUCCGACGGUAAGGGACGAAACCCUGGGGCGCGAACCGGAUUAGAUACCCGCGUAGUCC
rnacentral:rRNA from 1 species